rnacentral:rRNA from 1 species
AGCGAACGCUGGCGGCAGGCCUAACACAUGCAAGUCGAACGAACUCUUCGGAGUUAGUGGCGGACGGGUGAGUAACACGUGGGAACGUGCCUUUAGGUUCGGAAUAACUCAGGGAAACUUGUGCUAAUACCGAAUGUGCCCUUCGGGGGAAAGAUUUAUCGCCUUUAGAGCGGCCCGCGUCUGAUUAGCUAGUUGGUGAGGUAAAGGCUCACCAAGGCGACGAUCAGUAGCUGGUCUGAGAGGAUGAUCAGCCACAUUGGGACUGAGACACGGCCCAAACUCCUACGGGAGGCAGCAGUGGGGAAUCUUGCGCAAUGGGCGAAAGCCUGACGCAGCCAUGCCGCGUAAAUGAUGAAGGUCUUAGGAUUGUAAAAUUCUUUCACCGGGGACGAUAAUGACGGUACCCGGAGAAGAAGCCCCGGCUAACUUCGUG